rnacentral:rRNA from 1 species
GAUGAACGCUAGCGAUAGGCUUAACACAUGCAAGUCGAGGGGCAGCACAAGGUAGCUUGCUAUCUGGGUGGCGACCGGCGCACGGGUGCGUAACGCGUAUGCAACUUGCCCUAUACAGGAGGAUAACCCGUCGAAAGACGGACUAAUACUGCGUAUGCUCACAACUUGGCAUCAAGUGGUGAGGAAAGAAAUUCGGUAUAGGAUAGGCAUGCGUCCCAUUAGCUUGUUGGUGAGGUAACGGCUCACCAAGGCAACGAUGGGUAGGGGAACUGAGAGGUUUAUCCCCCACACUGGUACUGAGACACGGACCAGACUCCUACGGGAGGCAGCAGUGAGGAAUAUUGGUCAAUGGGCGCGAGCCUGAACCAGCCAAGUCGCGUGAAGGAUGACUGUCUUAUGGAUUGUAAACUUCUUUUAUACGGGAAUAACAAGGGUCACGUGUGACUCCCUGCAUGUACCGUAUGAAUAAGCAUCGGCUAACUCCGUG